CACUCAAUCUUAGGCGAAGGAGGUGCUAAUGAACAUUGUUCAGUGCCUCUGUUCAGUGUCUUCCAAAUUUAAUGGUAUUGUGAACUUCCAUAGUUUCCCGAUGUAGAGCUCAGAAAAAGUUGGUUGGUGGCACUACGCCAUGACAACUUGUGUGUAGUACACGUUUCGUCGUGUAUACCUAAAAAUAGGUGUUGUUCAUACUGUCUUCACGUGGAACUGCACCUGGUGUUUGGGAAAGACUGAAACCUCCUGCUCCGACUGAGGGGGACGAAGAACAAGGUGCGCUGCCUAUGGACUGUGCCGUCUCUGAUCCGGUCCAGACCCAUGAUUACUGUGCAGUCCCAGAACCCGCAGCCCUGGAAAUGGCCCUAAUGGCAAACCAUGAGCACGUAAGAGAAAUUGAGGAGCUUUGAGCCAAGCUGGAGAAACUGAUCACCCAACGCGGCUUUGGUCUACAGCGAUUAGCUGUUUCUGACAUUUGCAAACUACACCCACCUGAUGGCCUUCUGGCACUUGAUUGAGCGGGCAGCAGAGACCACGUUUAUAAGAAUCACAAGCACCAAUCCAUCUGAAACAAUUGUUACUCGAAGAAAACCGGGAAGGGACAACUUCAUUAAAUACUUAAAGACAGAAGGAUUUAGCCCAUCGGUUCAGCAUUCACCAAUCCACAGUGAGCCGGAUUAUCAUCUCUUGGGCCAACUUCCUCUACUGUCUGCUUGGAUCAGCACGGAUAUGGAUCCAAGGAAACCAUCAAAGCCCACCUGCCACCGGAGUUCAAGGACUAUCCAGACACCCAGGUAGUGAUUGACUGCACUGAACUCCAAUGCUAGACACCAUCUUCACUACUACUGCAGUGAGGUGUUUUCUUCCUACAAGUUACACUGUACCUUUAAGGGCAUGUUGGGAAUGUCACCACAUGGAGCUGUCACUUUUGUGUCAUCGUUGUAUGCUGGAUCUGUGAGUGACAAGGAUAUCUUCAAGUAGUCUGGAAUUAUUUCCUUAUUCACCCCGGACAUGGCCUUUAUGGUGGAUAAGGGCUUUCUCGUAGAUGACAUUGUUCCGUGCAAGGUCUACCGACGAGCCUUUCUGUCGAGACGCACACAGAUGCCAGCGGAUGAGAUGACAAAGUCACACCAGCUACAACCUGUGAGAAGGAAUUGACCUUGCACCUGCCAGUAGUAAGCAUGAGAUCUCUUCAACUUCAGCUCUCCAUUCUGUAUCUUCAGGUAAGGGCAGUCAACAUAACUUGGUACAUUUGGACACUUGACCUCUAAGAGUCCAAAGUGUGGUCUCACACUGGGAUCAAAUAUGAUUCCAUCUGGAGAGGAUCCUAACCACAGAGCAUCUGGGUGCACUACGAAGCCACACGGAAAGAAGUUAACAUUCUUCAGUGUGGGCUCCAUGGCUAGCCCCCUCUUCAUCUCCAUGGUCUGCAUACCAGAUCCCUUGAACAUCCGCUCAGCUAGGUGGUCAGCUGAGGUCUCUCCCCGGACAUGGCAAACCUUUCGGAAACGAGAGGAUGUUAUUCUCAUUUUCCUGAGCUGAUGCCAUUCCGGGCUACUGCUCUGCUCCCUUGUAGCAACCUCGACUUUGUGUGACAUCUCGUAGGUUGUCUCUAAUGCCUUGAGGUGGAACUGCUCCUGAUGGCUAAGGACGUAAGCACACUGGGAAGACAGAAGCCUGUAGCCAUCUAAUGGAAGUUUUGGUGGAGAAGGGGCAUCGGCAAUCAUCACAAUUUCACAGGUCUUUGGCUGUGGAAGCUGAUAGGACAGAACACUGCCGGCUUGCACUGGCCCAAAGGCGGACUCAACCAGGGGCACGUCAGCUGACAUUUCCAUUGUUGUCACAAGAGUGGCAGUAAGUGGAGAAAAGUUGUCAUACGUUUCUGAGACGUGGAGAAGGUCCAUGUCAGGCAUGUAUCCAUUGAGCGCUUUGAGGAGAGAACUUCUGCAAAACAUUUUAAAACCUUAACAUCAGGUUGGAGAGAUUCCUAUGACAAAGACUCAUGUAACUUUUCCAUAAACAGCACAAGCCCAAAAUAUCAAAUAAAAUGAAUGAAAAUAUACAGAUUUAUAGAUUUCCCCCCAGUCUUUGUCAUUACAUCGUAGAUGCCCUGUUUAGGCUUAUCAUCUGGAUACAAAAACAAUCACAAGAAAAUGUUUUCUAAAACGUUUCCAUUCUAGGAACCCCCAACUUAACUUAUUCCAUCAGCACACGAGUUAGUAGGUUUACGGAACUCUAUCCCAUCAAACCGGACCUGGCUUCACACCCUAAUUAACAAGGAUUUACU